rnacentral:snRNA from 1 species
ACUUUUUCAACGGUUGAUAUUCUC